AUUGAACGCUGGCGGCAUGCUUUACACAUGCAAGUCGAACGGUAACAGGCCUUCGGGUGCUGACGAGUGGCGAACGGGUGAGUAAUGCAUCGGAACGUACCCAGAGGUGGGGGAUAACGCAGCGAAAGCUGUGCUAAUACCGCAUGUGAUCUGAGGAUGAAAGCGGGGGACCGAGCAGCAAUGUUUGGCCUCGCGCCUUUGGAGCGGCCGAUGUCGGAUUAGCUAGUUGGUGGGGUAAAGGCCUACCAAGGCGACGAUCCGUAGCUGGUCUGAGAGGACGACCAGCCACACUGGGACUGAGACACGGCCCAGACUCCUACGGGAGGCAGCAGUGGGGAAUUUUGGACAAUGGGCGCAAGCCUGAUCCAGCAAUGCCGCGUGCGGGAAGAAGGCCCUCGGGUUGUAAACCGCUUUUGGCAGGAACGAAACGGUGUCCGCUAAUACCGGGCGCUAAUGACGGUACCUGCAGAAUAAGCACCGGCUAACUACGUG
rnacentral:rRNA from 1 species